GCGUUAAUCGGAAUUACUGGGCGUAAAGGGUGCGCAGGCGGCCCUGUAAGACCGGUGUGAAAUCCCCGGGCUCAACCUGGGAAUUGCGCUGGUGACUGCAGGGCUAGAGUACGGUAGAGGGGGGUGGAAUUCCUGGUGUAGCAGUGAAAUGCGUAGAGAUCAGGAGGAACACCGAUGGCGAAGGCAGCCCCCUGGGCCUGUACUGACGCUCAUGCACGAAAGCGUG
rnacentral:rRNA from 1 species